UACGGAGGGGGCAAGCGUUGUUCGGAAUUACUGGGCGUAAAGGGCGCGUAGGCGGCCCGCUAAGUCGAACGUGAAAUCCCCAGGCUCAACCUGGGAACUGCGUCCGAUACUGGCAGGCUUGAAUCCGGGAGAGGGAUGUGGAAUUCCAGGUGUAGCGGUGAAAUGCGUAGAUAUCUGGAGGAACACCGGUGGCGAAGGCGGCAUCCUGGACCGGUAUUGACGCUGAGGCGCGAAAGCUAGGGGAGCAAACGGG
rnacentral:rRNA from 1 species